UACCACCGUUAUCUAUAUAAAUAAAACCCUCUACUCCACCGUUGACGCCGCCGCCGCCACUCUUCUACUCAUUUCGCAAAAUCUCCACUCUAAUGUUGUCAUCCACAUCAAGGGUUCAAGUAACAACGACAAUUUACUCGGUAUAAUCUCACAAGUGUUGUUUGGAGAGGAUAGAAUGUAUGCAAAAGUGGCGUUUCCGAUCAAAAGAUGAGGGUUCAAGGAAUACAACCCAAAAUAUAUGAAGGGAAAAAUAUGAGGAUAAAAGAUAGAGAACUAUAUAUGUACAAAAUUAGAAGAUUGAUUCUCCUGUUGUGCAUCCAAAGCUCUGAUUUGAGUUUGUGUAUUACAUAUUAUACACUACUAUUUAUGAACAAUUUGAGUUUAAACAUUUUACA